rnacentral:rRNA from 2 species
UGGGGAAUAUUGCACAAUGGGCGCAAGCCUGAUGCAGCCAUGCCGCGUGUAUGAAGAAGGCCUUCGGGUUGUAAAGUACUUUCAGCGGGGAGGAAGGGAGUAAAGUUAAUACCUUUGCUCAUUGACGUUACCCGCAGAAGAAGCACCGGCUAACUCCGUGCCAGCAGCCGCGGUAAUACGGAGGGUGCAAGCGUUAAUCGGAAUUACUGGGCGUAAAGCGCACGCAGGCGGUUUGUUAAGUCAGAUGUGAAAUCCCCGGGCUCAACCUGGGAACGGCAUCUGAUACUGGCAAGCUUGAGUCUCGUAGAGGGGGGUAGAAUUCCAGGUGUAGCGGUGAAAUGCGUAGAGAUCUGGAGGAAUACCGGUGGCGAAGGCGGCCCCCUGGACGAAGACUGACGCUCAGGUGCGAAAGCGUGGGGAGCAAACAGG